rnacentral:rRNA from 1 species
GCCCAGACUCCUACGGGAGGCAGCAGUGGGGAAUUUUGGACAAUGGGCGCAAGCCUGAUCCAGCUAUUCCGCGUGUGGGAUGACGGCCCUCGGGUUGUAAACCACUUUAGUAGAGAACGAAAAGGAGCUAUCGAAUAAAUAGCUCUGCUGACGGUACUCUAAGAAUAAGCACCGGCUAACUACGUGCCAGCAGCCGCGGUAAUACGUAGGGUGCGAGCGUUAAUCGGAAUUACUGGGCGUAAAGGGUGUGCAGGCGGUUGAGUAAGUCAGAUGUGAAAUCCCCGGGCUCAACCGGGGAACCGCAUAUGUGACUGCUGGGCUAGAGUGCGUCAGAGGGAAGUGGAAUUCCACGUGUAGCGGUGAAAUGCGUAGAUAUGUGGAAGAACACCGAUGGCGAAGGCGGCCCCCUGGGACGCAACUGACGCUGAUACUCGAAAGCGUGGGGAGCAAACAGGAUUAGAUACCCCAGUAA